AUUGAACGCUGGCGGCAGGCCUAACACAUGCAAGUCGAGCGAGCGGCGGACGAGUGAGUAAUGCCUGGGAAUUGCCCAGUCGAGGGGGAUAACAGUUGGAAACGACUGCUAAUACCGCAUACCAUUGGAUUGCCCAGGUGGGAUUAGCUAGUUGGUGAGGUGAUGGCUCACCAAGGCAACGAUCCCUAGCGUGUCUGAGAGGAUGAUCAGCCAAACGGGAACUGAGACACGGUCCAGAAUCCGACGGUAGGCAGCAGUGGUGAAUAUUGCACAAUGGGGGAAACCCUGAUGCAGCCAUGCCGCGUGUGGGAAGAAGGCCUUCGGGUUGUAAAGCACUUUCAGCGGGGCGGCGUUACUCGCAGAAGAAGCAACGGCUAACUCCGUGCCAGCAGCCGCGGUAAUAC
rnacentral:rRNA from 1 species